GUUUAAGUAGUUUAAUAUUUAAAACACCAGUCUUGUAAGCUGNNNAAUAUAGAGGCUAGCCACCUCUCUUAAACU
rnacentral:tRNA from 1 species